GGGCACAUGGUGUAGUUGGUUAUCACGCCCGCUUAGCAUGAGUUCCUUGAGAGGUGGCUGCGGGCGGUCCCCGGUUCAAUUCCGGGUGUGUCCA